UAACCUUUUCUAGACAAUUCAGCUUGUGUACUGCCGUCGUAAGCAAACCUCUAAAAGUAGAAGUAUGCAAGUAUGUUUUCUCAUCUACGUCAGGUCAAAGUGCAGCUAAUGAAAAGGUGACGAUGGGUUACACCCUAAACAUAGACACGAAUUAAAGAGUUAAAACCUGUAUGAAGGUGGACUUGGAUGUAAUGAUAUCUCAAAGCUAUAAUGAAAAUGAAUCUAAGACAUGCACACAUCGCCCGUCACUCUUACUCUAAGGCAAGAUAAGUCGUAACAAAGUAGGUGUAGCGGAAGCUGCACCUGU
rnacentral:rRNA from 1 species